GGACAGUGUUCCUAAGCUAACUGGCAACGCUGAAGGUCUCAUACUUCGGCCCUGCGAGAACCACUCACACCAACCGACGUGACAAUGCGAUACCUGCAGUUUCUAUAGCAUCGCAAGAUCAAAACAAAACCGAUAACGAAACCUCAGAUGAAUGCGAGCCCUGAAAGCAUGGUGAAGUGAAUGUGCAUUAUAAUUACUAUUUAGAUAUCGAAAAACCGUGAAUUUCUACAUUAUAUACCCAUUAAACUAUCCCUUAUCUAAGUGAAUUUCGAGCGAUAGUGAAGUGUGAAUCAUCACAAUCGAUUCAUGCGAAAGGAAAUUAUAAAAGAGUAAUUUACCUAAAUUAGUUGUCUAUAACGAUAACUACUACUUUCCAAGACGGAAUUGAGCCUACACUGAACCUAACCUAAAUUCUAUAAGCCUACACCAAAUUCUUGAGCUGAUCUGGAACUAAGCGUUUCAACUGCUAAAAGAAGUGUGGCUACUUGUAGUUUUUAACAGAC